rnacentral:rRNA from 1 species
GGGUUGUAGCUGGCUCUUCGGGGCAUGUGCACGCCUGUCUUGACUUUAUUCAUCCACCUGUGCACCUUUUGUAGUCUUGGAGGUUGAGAGCAGUCGACUAUCGGAUACUUUCCGGAUGUGACGAAUUGCUGAGUGCGAAAGCAUACAGCUCUUCUCAAAUGACUUGCAACACUUCUCCUUCAAGUACUAUGUAUUCAUAUACCACAUAGUAUGUUGUAGAAUGUGAUCAAUGGGCUUAUAUGCCUAUAAUAAUCAUAUACAACUUUCAGCAACGGAUCUCUUGGCUCUCGCAUCGAUGAAGAACGCAGCGAAAUGCGAUAAGUAAUGUGAAUUGCAGAAUUCAGUGAAUCAUCGAAUCUUUGAACGCACCUUGCGCUCCUUGGUAUUCCGAGGAGCAUGCCUGUUUGAGUGUCAUUAAAUUCUCAACCCCUCCAGCUUUUGCGAGCUGUGAUGGGGCUUGGAUGUUGGGGGUUUGCGGGCCUUACAAAGGUCGGCUCUCCUGAAAUACAUUAGCGGAACCGUUUGCAGUCCCGUCACUAGUGUGAUAAUUAUCUACACUGUGAUGAUUGCUCUCUGACUAGUUCAGCUGCUAAUCGUCCACUAUCGGACAAUAUUUAAUGAACUUCUUGACCUCAAAUCAGGUAGGACUACCCGCUGAACUUAAGCAUA